AGAAUAAAAAAUCGAAGCGUCGCUCUUUUUUUUAAGGGUGAUCGCGUCGGAAUUGAGCCGUCUUUCAAAUGUUAAUUCAUGUCAAAGUGGCUUAAAAUUCAUCCACCCGGUACGAUUAAAGCGUAUUUAAGAUCAAUUUUGUUCAAGAACGCGCGAUGAUGUACCAUCUCAUGUAGUACGUUUGACCUGGGUCAUCAGGCUCAUUCGUAUACGAUACUCAAAC
rnacentral:misc_RNA from 1 species